GACGAACGCUGGCGGCGUGCUUAACACAUGCAAGUCGAACGGAAAGGCCCUGCUUUUGUGGGGUGCUCGAGUGGCGAACGGGUGAGUAACACGUGAGUAACCUGCCCUUGACUUUGGGAUAACUUCAGGAAACUGGGGCUAAUACCGGAUAGGAGCUCCUGCUGCAUGGUGGGGGUUGGAAAGUUUCGGCGGUUGGGGAUGGACUCGCGGCUUAUCAGCUUGUUGGUGGGGUAGUGGCUUACCAAGGCUUUGACGGGUAGCCGGCCUGAGAGGGUGACCGGCCACAUUGGGACUGAGAUACGGCCCAGACUCCUACGGGAGGCAGGAGUGGGGAAUAUUGCACAAUGGGCGGAGGCAUGAUGCAGCAACGCCGCGUGCGGGAUGACGGCCUUCGGGUUGUAAACCGCUUUCGCCUGUGACGAAGCGUGAGUGACGGUAAUGGGUAAAGAAGCACCGCUAACUACGUG
rnacentral:rRNA from 1 species